UGGGGAAUAUUGCACAAUGGGCGCAAGCCUGAUGCAGCGACGCCGCGUGAGGGAUGAAGGCCUUCGGGUUGUAAACCUCUUUCGUCAGGGAACAAGGCACUGCCUUUUUGGUGGUGUUGAGGGUACCUGGAUAAGAAGCGCCGGCUAACUACGUGCCAGCAGCCGCGGUAAUACGUAGGGCGCAAGCGUUGUCCGGAAUUAUUGGGCGUAAAGAGCUCGUAGGCGGCUGGUCGCGUCUGUCGUGAAAACUUCCGGCUCAACCGGGGGCUUGCGGUGGGUACGGGCCGGCUAGAGUGCGGUAGGGGUAACUGGAACUCCUGGUGUAGCGGUGGAAUGCGCAGAUAUCAGGAAGAACACCGAUGGCGAAGGCAGGUUACUGGGCCGUUACUGACACUGAGGAGCGAAAGCGUGGGGAGCGAACAGGAUUAGAUACCCUGGUAGUCCACGCCGUAAACGUUGGGCACUAGGUGUGAGGCUCCUUUCCGGGGGUUUUGCGCCGUAGCUAACGCAUUAAGUGCCCCGCCUGGGGAGUACGGCCGCAAGGCUA
rnacentral:rRNA from 1 species